GUCCUGAUAGAAAGCUUGAGCGCUGCCAUUUAGCGGACGUAUAGAUUGUGGUGUAUAGUGUAAAAUAGUGCACGGUACCAUAACCACUGACAGGUACCAUAACUACUGAUAGUGUGAAAAAUACGGUUUAACGUUGUAUGUGUAACACUUUAACUACUACUAACUGACCUUGUAACUUUAAAACCAUGAUUGUUUAAACUGUGUAAUAUUUGCUAACCGUACCAUAACCACUCAAAGACGAAACUGUUGAAAUGUUAUGUGAUCGGUUAGUAUAUGUGGAUUAAUAGUGUGGAUAAUUGUAUGGUUUAAAUAAUAGUUACAUUGAUGAGUAUAUAGUGUUUGGUGAGACUUUUUGAUUUUACUUAUGUGUGCGACAUCAUGAUAUUGUUGAGUGUGUGAGGAUCCUGUGC